UGUGGCUCAGUCAGUAGAGCAUUUCACUAGCGAUGCAAAGAUCCUGGGUUCGAACCCUAGACAA